rnacentral:snoRNA from 1 species
GCUGGCACAAUGAUGACUUAGAGUUUGCCGUUUACCCAGCUGAGGGUGUCUUUGAAGAAAUACUCUUAAGACUGAGGUGCCAGC